GUGUAUAAGAGACAGCCUACGGGAGGCAGCAGUGGGGAAUCUUGGACAAUGGGCGCAAGCCUGAUCCAGCCAUGCCGCGUGUGUGAAGAAGGCCUUCGGGUUGUAAAGCACUUUCAGUAGGGAGGAAGGCUUUGGGCUAAUACCCUGGAGUACUUGACGUUACCUACAGAAGAAGCACCGGCUAAUUUCGUGCCAGCAGCCGCGGUAAUACGAAAGGUGCGAGCGUUAAUCGGAAUUACUGGGCGUAAAGCGCGCGUAGGCGGUGUGUUAAGUCGGAUGUGAAAGCCCAGGGCUCAACCUUGGAAUUGCAUCCGAUACUGGCACGCUAGAGUGCAGUAGAGGGAGGUGGAAUUUCCGGUGUAGCGGUGAAAUGCGUAGAGAUCGGAAGGAACACCAGUGGCGAAGGCGGCCUCCUGGACUGACACUGACGCUGAGGUGCGAAAGCGUGGGGAGCAAACAGGAUUAGAUACCCGGGUAGUCGAAAG
rnacentral:rRNA from 1 species